rnacentral:tRNA from 1 species
GUUCUUGUAGCUCAAUGAUUAGAGCAUCCAACCAGUGUUACGGAGGUCAUAGGUCCAAUUCCUACCUGGAACC